UUACAAAAGCUUGGGUUCAAGGAGCUGCAAUCAGAGCAAGCAAUUUCCACUGUGCAAUAGCUUGGCGAUGUCAUAGCAGAACAUGAUCUACUGGUGGAGCGCAGAGGAAAGCAUUGAGUGCAUUGUCAAUCGGGACAAUGUGUCUAAGUUGGGAAAAGCCAUAAUGAAGUUGGCUUGAAGGCUCUCACAAUUAAGAUGCACAUCUCAAAGUCAGAGCUGAGAGCACUUGCUGGGUAGCUGAUGUCACCUUCUUGCAAAUAGUCACUCGGUUCUCAGAGGUUGCUACAGAAAGAAGACUGGCCCUGGAUAUAAACCCUUGACUCGGUCCUCCAGAACCAUGAGUGGAAGCUGCUUCUUUGUUAUACACAGCCCCAAGGGAUCUUCCUUGACAAGCUUCGGGUCCAGUGGUUGGCUCAGCAGCAUCUGAAAGUGCCUGAUACACAAGCCUGACAACCGAUGUUGGCCCUCAGAAUCUACAGGAAAGAGAGAGCAAGCCUGACAACCGAUGUUGGCCCUCAGAAUCUACAGGAGAGCCUGCAGGAACCUGGAAGUCCCACAUCUUUAUUGAUUGAUCAAGAACCAAUUGGUGACAAGGACCUUCAGCAUCAGUACCUGAAGAUUCCUGAAAAACUAAAGCAUCAGAACACAAUCCUAUUUCACAAAAGGAAAAUUUAGCAAAUUGAGUUACUAAUGUCUGUAUUUUUAUUUUAGUUACAUUCUUAUCUCAGUAGCAAGAUGAUGGAAAUAUCAACAAAGUAUCCUUUACAAAGUGACUCAGACAAAUAUCUCCGAGGGGCCUUCCUUUCCCAGGUUAUUCAACAGUAUUCUGUCUAGCCCCAUCUUUAUUGCUAUACUAUAAAAAUACCCACUUCCAAGGCUCAAGGAAAAUGUGGUCAUUUCAUUACACAGCACUUGAGCAGUGCUGUGUAAUGAAAUGACCUUCAGUCUUCCACCAUAAAACGACCCAUUGCCAGAUGUCAAUGCCUUGACAGUCUUUAGAAUUGUGUGUGUGGGAGUGUGAUGGUUUGUAUAUGUUUAGCCCAGGGCGUGGCACUAUUAGAAGG